rnacentral:piRNA from 1 species
UCCUCAAAGACAGUGGGUGAGGACAGGC